GAUUUGCGCAGAAUGAGCGGCUGAGGAUGGAAGGGCUGCAAGAUCCACCGCCUUACUUAGCUGGGACCCGGCCCCACCUCCUCUACAGCAGACCCUGUCUCCACCGGUGCGGUUGGUGCUAGGUUCCCAAACACACUGCUGCCGUUUCUUGUCUGACAUCGCGGCCCUGCUCCUGCCUGCCUUCAGCCUGGGCUAGCCCCCCGCCCUUCCCCCAGCUCCCUGCCCCUGCGCCCACCACACUCCUCCUCCGUCUCCUUUAGGCUGAUUCAGGCACACCGGCUCUCGUCGCCUUGGUGGCCCUCCCCAGCCCUCCUCCGCGCCUGCUCCGGGUGGCGCUCCGCUGGGCUCCUCGUGCGCCUGUCCGCGACCGCACCCACCUCAUCCUGGCACCCCCAUCGUGGCAUCACGUGUUCCCUCAUCUGUCCUCAUGGCUGGCGUGCCCCUCUGCGGUGAGACCUGCAGAACAGGAAUUGGUGCCGGGUCAGCAGCCGGCGAUGAAGCCGGACGAAGCCUGCAAACCCCACCCAUACGCCAGCUUCACAUAGCUCCUAUCCAUUGCACAGCAGCGUGGGGAAGCACCGUUCUCUACCCUCCAAACAAAAGCAUGAACCAGGUGCAGUGGCUCACGUCUGUAAUCCCAGCAUUUUGGAGGCCAAGGUGGAUGGAUGGAUUCCUUGAGUCCAGGAGUUCAAGACCAGCCUGGGCAACAUGGUGAACCCCCAUCUCUACAAAAAUUUAGCCAGCAAUGCAGGCCAUGGGAGGCUGCAGCAGUGACGCUGUCAGAUCCCCUUUGUGAGAAUAAUAAUUUUUAUAACAACGUGGCUGGAGGACUGAUCAGGAGAGAGACUGGUGUGAAUUGAAGGCUGUUGCAAUGGCUCCAAGAAGAGAUGAGGCUGUGUGGUGAGUUUAGCCGCUGGAUGAAAGGCCGGAAGAAUGAGGUCAGCAGCGCACUGACACCGACACCCAAAGCUUCGGCUGCUGCCGCUCUCAUGGAAAUCUCCUGGGGGAAGGGAGAGGGUCCUUCCUCGGUGAAAACUGGGGCUGCUCUAGCGAGUUCCUCAGAAGCGGGCAGGUCGCUAGUUCCUCUUCCUUUUCAGCCCUCAGUGCCCAUUUUGCCAAUAAAAAGUCCCAAGGUGACAGUACAAGAGACGCCUUUAGUGAAGGCAAAGGAAGGGACACUCCCCUCCUUUGCUGCCUACUCUCGCCCUCACUUCUUGAAAUCUUUGGUCUCCCUUCACCCACUCUGUCACUCUCACAAGACAACCAUUUCCAAGGACUAUUUCCAAGCCCUUUUCCUCAUCCCCAAACCCGCAGUUUUCAGCUGCCCCCAGUUGCCUGGCCAGGCUGCCUCGACGGCCCUAUUCACGGGCCCCAGCCUCCUCGCCGGGCUGGAAGGCGACAACCGCGAAAAGGAGGGUGACUCUCCUCGGCGGGGGCUUCGGGUGACAUCACAUCCUCCAAAUGCGAAAUCAGGCUCCGGGCCGGCCGAAGGGCGCAACUUUCCCCCCUCGGCGCCCCACCGGCUCCCGCGCGCCUCCCCUCGCGCCCGAGCUUCGAGCCAAGCAGCGUCCUGGGGAGCGCGUCAUGGCCUUACCAGUGACCGCCUUGCUCCUGCCGCUGGCCUUGCUGCUCCACGCCGCCAGGCCGAGCCAGUUCCGGGUGUCGCCGCUGGAUCGGACCUGGAACCUGGGCGAGACAGUGGAGCUGAAGUGCCAGGUGCUGCUGUCCAACCCGACGUCGGGCUGCUCGUGGCUCUUCCAGCCGCGCGGCGCCGCCGCCAGUCCCACCUUCCUCCUAUACCUCUCCCAAAACAAGCCCAAGGCGGCCGAGGGGCUGGACACCCAGCGGUUCUCGGGCAAGAGGUUGGGGGACACCUUCGUCCUCACCCUGAGCGACUUCCGCCGAGAGAACGAGGGCUACUAUUUCUGCUCGGCCCUGAGCAACUCCAUCAUGUACUUCAGCCACUUCGUGCCGGUCUUCCUGCCAGCGAAGCCCACCACGACGCCAGCGCCGCGACCACCAACACCGGCGCCCACCAUCGCGUCGCAGCCCCUGUCCCUGCGCCCAGAGGCGUGCCGGCCAGCGGCGGGGGGCGCAGUGCACACGAGGGGGCUGGACUUCGCCUGUGAUAUCUACAUCUGGGCGCCCUUGGCCGGGACUUGUGGGGUCCUUCUCCUGUCACUGGUUAUCACCCUUUACUGCAACCACAGGAACCGAAGACGUGUUUGCAAAUGUCCCCGGCCUGUGGUCAAAUCGGGAGACAAGCCCAGCCUUUCGGCGAGAUACGUCUAACCCUGUGCAACAGCCACUACAUUACUUCAAACUGAGAUCCUUCCUUUUGAGGGAGCAAGUCCUUCCCUUUCAUUUUUUCCAGUCUUCCUCCCUGUGUAUUCAUUCUCAUGAUUAUUAUUUUAGUGGGGGCGGGGUGGGAAAGAUUACUUUUUCUUUAUGUGUUUGACGGGAAACAAAACUAGGUAAAAUCUACAGUACACCACAAGGGUCACAAUACUGUUGUGCGCACAUCGCGGUAGGGCGUGGAAAGGGGCAGGCCAGAGCUACCCGCAGAGUUCUCAGAAUCAUGCUGAGAGAGCUGGAGGCACCCAUGCCAUCUCAACCUCUUCCCCGCCCGUUUUACAAAGGGGGAGGCUAAAGCCCAGAGACAGCUUGAUCAAAGGCACACAGCAAGUCAGGGUUGGAGCAGUAGCUGGAGGGACCUUGUCUCCCAGCUCAGGGCUCUUUCCUCCACACCAUUCAGGUCUUUCUUUCCGAGGCCCCUGUCUCAGGGUGAGGUGCUUGAGUCUCCAACGGCAAGGGAACAAGUACUUCUUGAUACCUGGGAUACUGUGCCCAGAGCCUCGAGGAGGUAAUGAAUUAAAGAAGAGAACUGCCUUUGGCAGAGUUCUAUAAUGUAAACAAUAUCAGACUUUUUUUUUUUAUAAUCAAGCCUAAAAUUGUAUAGACCUAAAAUAAAAUGAAGUGGUGAGCUUAACCCUGGAAAAUGAAUCCCUCUAUCUCUAAAGAAAAUCUCUGUGAAACCCCUAUGUGGAGGCGGAAUUGCUCUCCCAGCCCUUGCAUUGCAGAGGGGCCCAUGAAAGAGGACAGGCUACCCCUUUACAAAUAGAAUUUGAGCAUCAGUGAGGUUAAACUAAGGCCCUCUUGAAUCUCUGAAUUUGAGAUACAAACAUGUUCCUGGGAUCACUGAUGACUUUUUAUACUUUGUAAAGACAAUUGUUGGAGAGCCCCUCACACAGCCCUGGCCUCUGCUCAACUAGCAGAUACAGGGAUGAGGCAGACCUGACUCUCUUAAGGAGGCUGAGAGCCCAAACUGCUGUCCCAAACAUGCACUUCCUUGCUUAAGGUAUGGUACAAGCAAUGCCUGCCCAUUGGAGAGAAAAAACUUAAGUAGAUAAGGAAAUAAGAACCACUCAUAAUUCUUCACCUUAGGAAUAAUCUCCUGUUAAUAUGGUGUACAUUCUUCCUGAUUAUUUUCUACACAUACAUGUAAAAUAUGUCUUUCUUUUUUAAAUAGGGUUGUACUAUGCUGUUAUGAGUGGCUUUAAUGAAUAAACAUUUGUAGCAUCCUCUUUAAUGGGUAAACAGCA